GGGGGGGGGGGGGGGGGGGCGGGGGGGGGGGGGGGCGGGCGGGGGGGGCCGGCGUGGGUGGGGUGCUGGGGGGGCGCACGGGUGGGGAACACGGGAGUAACCUGCCCUGGACUUUGGGAUAACUUCAGGAAACUGGGGCUCAUACCGGAUAGGGGCUCCUGCUGCAUGGUGGGGGUUGGGCAGGUUCGGCGGUUGGGGAUGGACUCGCGGCUUAUCAGCUUGUUGGUGGGGUAGUGGCUUACCCAGGCUUUGACGGGUAGCCGGCCUGAGAGGGGGACCGGCCACAUUGGGACUGAGAUACGGCCCAGACUCCUACGGGAGGCAGCAGUGGGGAAUAUUGCACAAUGGGCGGAAGCCUGAUGCAGCAACGCCGCGUGCGGGAUGACGGCCUUCGGGUUGUAAACCGCUUUCGCCUGUGACGAAGCGUGAGUGACGGUAAUGGGUAAAGAAGCACCGGCUAACUACGUG
rnacentral:rRNA from 1 species